AAAUCAGGUGAUGAAUUUGGAUUAAUCAUCUCACGACGGUCGUCUGAGACUCGGUGUCGAAGCUGAAACGAUCCUUUGCAUCUGAUGGUU